rnacentral:rRNA from 1 species
CGCGUAGGCGGUUUGUCAAGUCUGGUGUGAAAGACCACAGCUCAACUGUGGGGACGCACUGGAAACUGUCAGACUAGAGUAUAGGAGGGGAAGCUGGAAUUCCUGGUGUAGGGGUGAAAUCUGUAGAUAUCAGGAAGAACACCGGUGGCGAAGGCGAGCUUCUGGCCAUAUACUGACGCUGAGGCGCGAAAGCGUGGGGAGCGAACA